rnacentral:rRNA from 1 species
CCUACGGGUGGCAGCAGUGGGGGAUAGUGGACAAUGGGGGAAACCCUGAUCCAGCGACGCCGCGUGAGUGCAGAAGUAGUUCGGUAUGUAAAGCUCUAUCAGCAGGGAAGAAAGAAAUGACGGUACAUGAGUAAGAAGCCCCGGCUAACUACGGGCCAGCAGUCGCGGUAAUACGGAGGAUGCGAGCGUUAUCCGGAUUUAUUGGGUGUAGAGGGUGCGUAGGCGGAAUAUCAAGUCAGCGGGAAAAAGUCGGGGCUCAACCCCGUCGUGCCGUUGAAACUGAUGUUCUUGAGUGGGCGAGAAGUAUGCGGAAUGCGUGGUGUAGCGGUGAAAUGCAUAGAUAUCACGCAGAACUCCGAUUGCGAAGGCAGCAUACCGGCGCCCAACUGACGCUGAAGCACGAAAGCGUGGGUAUCGAACAGGAUUAGAUACCCCUGUAGUC